AAACAGCGGUCGCGUCAUUGGUGAUUCAUAAUAACUUCUCGAAUCGCACGGCUUGUUGGCUGGCGAUGCUUCAUUCAAAUAUCUGCCCUAUCAACUUUCGAUGGUAGGAUAGUGGCCUACCAUGGUUUCAACGGGUAACGGGGAAUAAGGGUUCGAUUCCGGAGAGGGAGCCUGAGAAACGGCUACCACAUCCAAGGAAGGCAGCAGGCGCGCAAAUUACCCAAUCCCGACACGGGGAGGUAGUGACAAUAAAUAACAAUAUAGGGCUCUUUCGGGUCUUAUAAUUGGAAUGAGUACAAUUUAAAUCCCUUAACGAGGAACAAUUGGAGGGCAAGUCUGGUGCCAGCAGCCGCGGUAAUUCCAGCUCCAAUAGCGUAUAUUAAAGUUGUUGCAGUUAAAAAGCUCGUAGUUGAACUUCAGACCUGACCGGGCGGUCCGCCUAACGGUGUGUACUGUCUGGCCGGGCCUUACCUCUUGGUGAGCCGGCAUGCCCUUCACUGGGUGUGUCGGGGAACCAGGACCUUUACCUUGAGAAAAUUAGAGUGUUCAAAGCAGGCUUACGCCGGAAUACAUUAGCAUGGAAUAAUAAAAUACGGACGUGCGGUUCUAAUAGUGGUUUCUAGAGUCGCCGUAAUGAUUAUAGGGAUAGUUGGGGCAUUUGUAUUGGUUGGUAGAAGGUGAAUUCUUGGAUUUACGCAAGACAAAAUAUUGGGAAAGCAUUUGCCAAGGAUGGUUCAUUAAUCAAGACGAAGGUAAGGGG
rnacentral:rRNA from 1 species